rnacentral:rRNA from 1 species
CCUACGGGGGGCUGCAGUGAGGAAUAUUGGUCAAUGGGCGGGAGCCUGAACCAGCCAAGUCGCGUGAGGGAAGACGGUCCUAUGGAUUGUAAACCUCUUUAGGCGGGGAGCAAGGCCGGGCACGCGUGCCCGGAGGGAGAGUACCCGCAGAAGAAGCAUCGGCUAACUCCGUGCCAGCAGCCGCGGUAAUACGGAGGAUGCUAGCGUAAUCCGGAUUUAUUGGGUUUAAAGGGUGCGUAGGCGGAUUUUUAAGUCGGCGGUAAAAUGUCCGGGCUCAACCCGGGCCGGCCGUUGAAACGUGGGAUCUUGAGUGUGCGAGAAGUAUGCGGACUGCGUGUUGUAGCGGUGAACUGCAUAGAUAUCACGAAGAACUCCGAUUGCGAAGGCAGCUUACUACACUGCCACUGACAUUGAUGCUCGACAGUGUGGGUAUCAAACAGGAUUAGAUACCCCAGUAGUC